UACGUAGGGUGCAAGCGUUGUCCGGAAUUAUUGGGCGUAAAGAGCUCGUAGGCGGCUUGUCGCGUCGAAUGUGAAAUCUCAGGGCUCAACUCUGACAUUGCAUUCGAUACGGGCAGACUAGAGUUCGGUAGGGGAGACUGGAAUUCCUGGUGUAGCGGUGAAAUGCGCAGAUAUCAGGAGGAACACCGGUGGCGAAGGCGGGUCUCUGGGCCGAUACUGACGCUGAGGAGCGAAAGCGUGGGGAGCGAACAGG
rnacentral:rRNA from 1 species